UACGUAGGGUGCGAGCGUUAAUCGGAAUUACUGGGCGUAAAGCGUGCGCAGGCGGUUAUGUAAGACAGGGGUGAAAUCCCCGGGCUUAACCUGGGAACUGCAUUUGUGACUGCAUCGCUGGAGUGCGGCAGAGGGGGAUGGAAUUCCGCGUGUAGCAGUGAAAUGCGUAGAUAUGCGGAGGAACACCGAUGGCGAAGGCAAUCCCCUGGGCCUGCACUGACGCUCAUGCACGAAAGCGUGGGGAGCAAACAGG
rnacentral:rRNA from 1 species